GACACGUGUUUAUUAAGCAGAAAGAAAUGGUUCUUUAAUUUUAGCAACAAUACGUGCAUGAUAUUCAAGAAUGGUUGCGGAAAAGGUCCCAACAGCUUCGCCUCGUACGGGAAGUGCAUGUCGAAAUGCAGCUAUAACCAAGUCACGGCGGCCUCCCCAACUGGAAAACAAGAACUCCAAAAUGAGCACCCACCCCUAGGUAAACCCGGUGUGCCGAACCAGGUUGGCACACUCAGCCCAACAACCCCGCCCGUUCAGCCUAGCAUACCUGUACAACCUGGCCAACCAAGUAAACCCGGUUUAGCCUUGCCCAACCAGCCCGGUCAUUCCGGCCUGCCUCUGCAAAGCGUCGGAUCAGGUCAGCCUGGUCAACCUAGCUUAACAUGGCGUCCCGGUCAAGCCAGUUCUACCUUGCCACCCAGUAUACCAGCGCAAUCUGGUCAAUCUAGCAGCAGACCCGGCACCGGCUUACCCGGUCAACAAGGCAUAUCCACCCAAAGUAGGGGACCAGGUCAGCCUAAUCAAAUUGGCUUGAUGGGAAAGCCCGGUCAAGUAAACCACAUCUUCCCACCC
rnacentral:lncRNA from 1 species